AGUGAACGCUGGCGGUAGGCCUAACACAUGCGAGUCGAACGGCAGCACAGUAAGAGCUUGCUCUUACGGGUGGCGAGUGGCGGACGGGUGAGGAAUACAUCGGAAUCUACUUUUUCGUGGGGGAUAACGUAGGGAAACUUACGCUAAUACCGCAUACGACCUACGGGUGAAAGCAGGGGAUCUUCGGACCUUGCGCGAUUGAAUGAGCCGAUGUCGGAUUAGCUAGUUGGCGGGGUAAUGGCCCACCAAGGCGACGAUCCGUAGCUGGUCUGAGAGGAUAAUCAGCCACACUGGAACUGAGACACGGUCCAGACUCCUACGGGAGGCAGCAGUGGGGAAUAUUGGGCAAUGGGCGCAAGCCUGAUCCAGCCAUACCGCGUGGGUGAAGAAGGCCUUCGGGUUGUAAAGCCCUUUUGUUGGGAAAGAAAAGCAGCAGGUUAAUACCCCGCUGUUCUGACGGUACCCAAAGAAUAAGCACCGGCUAACUUCGUG
rnacentral:rRNA from 1 species